rnacentral:misc_RNA from 1 species
CUUGUUCCUCUUCUGUGAUGACUUCUUCCAUUGAUUGACAGUCUUGUAUCUUUAGUAUUCGGAGAUUCAAAACACCUCUAGCCAGUAAUGGAGACAUCAAGUUUCUCAAUUUUCCACAAGUCGAUACAUCCAAACUUUCAAGUUUGCUAAAGUAGGCAGUUGGAAGUUGGUGAGAGCAUAGAGCAGUUAUGUUGUGAGCCAUCCAGAUACAUAGCUCUUCCAGACUGGGACAAGUAACCUUAAAAUUGAACAUCACUUUAUUGAGAUCAACUACUUUCACCUCAUCAUCAUUGUUCAAACUUCCGAGACUCGGUGUACUCACAGAUCCCUGUUGGACAAACGUCUUUAUAUCAGGGCAUUCAUGAAUCGACACUUCUCUGAGAAAUGGAAAUUCAAGAGCGUGCAUAGCGAGAAAGAAAUGCCCCAGCUUUGGCAGGCUUUGAAGCCUCAACUCUUCCAACAGGGGAAAUAAGGGCUCAUUUGUCAUAAUUUCUUCUCC